AUUGAACGCUGGCGGCAUGCUUUACACAUGCAAGUCGAACGGUAACAGGCCGCAAGGUGCUGACGAGUGGCGAACGGGUGAGUAAUGCAUCGGAACGUGCCCAGUCGUGGGGGAUAACUGCUCGAAAGAGCAGCUAAUACCGCAUACGAUCUGCGGAUGAAAGCGGGGGACCUUCGGGCCUCGCGCGAUUGGAGCGGCCGAGGUCAGAUUAGGUAGUUGGUGGGGUAAAGGCUCACCAAGCCAACGAUCUGUAGCUGGUCUGAGAGGACGACCAGCCACACUGGGACUGAGACACGGACCAGACUCCGACGGGAGGCAGCAGGGGGGAAUUUUGGACAAUGGGGGCAACCCUGAUCCAGCAAUGCCGCGUGCAGGAAGAAGGCCUUCGGGUUGUAAGCUGCUUUUGUACGGAACGAAACGGUCUGGGUUAAUACCCUGGGCUAAUGACGGUACCGUAAGAAUAAGCACCGGCUAACUACGUGCCAGCCGCCGCCGUAACAC
rnacentral:rRNA from 1 species